AGCGAACGCUGGCGGCAGGCCUAACACAUGCAAGUCGAACGAACCUUUCGGGGUUAGUGGCGGACGGGUGAGUAACACGUGGGAACGUGCCUUUAGGUUCGGAAUAACUCAGGGAAACGUGUGCUAAUACCGAAUGUGCCCUUCGGGGGAAAGAUUAAUCGCCUUUAGAGCGGCCCGCGUCUGAUUAGCUAGUUGGUUGAGGUAAUGGCUCACCAAGGCGACGAUCAGUAGCUGGUCUGAGAGGAUGAUCAGCCACAUUGGGACUGAGACACGGCCCAAAAUCCUACGGGAGGCAGCAGUGGGGAAUCUUGCGCAAUGGGCGAAAGCCUGACGCAGCCAUGCCGCGUGAAUGAUGAAGGUCUUAGGAUUGUAAAAUUCUUUAACCGGGGACGAUAAUGACGGUACCCGGAGAAGAAGCCCCGGCUAACUUCGUG
rnacentral:rRNA from 1 species